UACGAAGGGGGCUAGCGUUGUCCGGAUUUAUUGGGCGUAAAGAGCGUGUAGGCGGCCAGGUAGGUCUGGUGUGAAAACUCGAGGCUUAACCUCGAGAUGUCCUCGGAAACCAUCUGGCUAGAGUCCGGAAGAGGAGAGUGGAAUUCCUGGUGUAGCGGUGAAAUGCGCAGAUAUCAGGAAGAACACCAAUGGCGAAAGCAGCUCUCUGGGACGGUACUGACGCUGAGACGCGAAAGCGUGGGGAGCAAACAGG
rnacentral:rRNA from 1 species